rfam:Strongylocentrotus purpuratus Contig10544_fixed, whole genome shotgun sequence.
GGCAUGGUGGCUCAGUAGUUAGAGCGCUCACCUCAUGAACGGGAGGUCGUGGCUUCGAACCCCGGCCAAGUCA